CGUAGGGAGCAAGCGUUGUCCGGAUUCACUGGGUGUAAAGGGUGCGUAGGCGGGACAAUAAGUCAGUGGUGAAAUCUUACGGCUCAACCGUGAAACUGCCAUUGAUACUGUUGUUCUUGAGUUCGGGAGAGGUUGAUGGAAUUCCAGGUGUAGCGGUGAAAUGCGUAGAUAUCUGGAAGAACACCAGUGGCGAAGGCGGUCAACUGGCCCGAAACUGACGCUGAGGCACGAAAGCGUGGGUAGCGAACAGGAUUAGAUACCCUGGUAGUCCACGCCCUAAACGAUGAAUGCUUGGUGUUGGCCGGAAACGGUCAGUGCCGGAGGUAACCUGGUAAGCAUUCCACCUGGGGAGUACGCUCGCAAGGGUG
rnacentral:rRNA from 1 species